rnacentral:tRNA from 1 species
AGGCGCGUAGCUCAGUGGGAGAGCGCUACCUUGACACGGUAGAUGUCGGCGGUUCAAUCCCGCCCGUGCCUACCA